CAGGAUGAACGCUAGCGACAGGCUUAACACAUGCAAGUCGAGGGGCAGCGGGGUUGUAGCAAUACAACUGCCGGCGACCGGCGCACGGGUGAGUAACACGUAUGUAACCUGCCCUCUGCAGGGGGAUAAGCGGAAGAAAUUCCGUCUAAUACCGCAUAAUACAAUUUGGAGACAUCUCCGGGUUGUCAAAGGAGUGAUCCGGCAGAGGAUGGACAUGCGGCGCAUUAGCUAGUCGGCGGGGUAACGGCCCACCGAGGCUACGAUGCGUAGGGGUUCUGAGAGGAAGGUCCCCCACACUGGUACUGAGACACGGACCAGACUCCUACGGGAGGCAGCAGUGAGGAAUAUUGGUCAAUGGGCGGAAGCCUGAACCAGCCAAGUCGCGUGAGGGAAGACGGUCCUAUGGAUUGUAAACCUUCUUUUGCAGGGGAGCAAGGCGCGGUACGUGUACCGCGAAGGAGAGUACCCUGAGAAAAAGCAUCGGCUAACUCCGUGCCAGCAGCCGCGGUAAUACGGAGGAUGCGAGCGUUAUCCGGAUUUAUUGGGUUUAAAGGGUGCGCAGGCGGACUGUUAAGUCAGCGGUAAAAUGUCGGUGCUCAACACCGGCCGGCCGUUGAAACUGGCAGCCUUGAGUGAGCGAGAAGUAUGCGGAAUGCGUGGUGUAGCGGUGAAAUGCAUAGAUAUCACGCAGAACUCCGAUUGCGAAGGCAGCAUACCGGCGCUCAACUGACGCUCAGGCACGAAAGCGUGGGUAUCGAACAGGCUUAGAUACCCUGGUAGUCCACGCAGUAAACGAU
rnacentral:rRNA from 1 species